UACGUAGGGUGCGAGCGUUAAUCGGAAUUACUGGGCGUAAAGCGUGCGCAGGCGGUUCGCCAAGUCAGGUGUGAAAUCCCCGGGCUUAACCUGGGAAUUGCGCUUGAAACUAGCGGGCUUGAGUGUGGCAGAGGGGGGUGGAAUUCCACGUGUAGCAGUGAAAUGCGUAGAGAUGUGGAGGAACACCUGUGGCGAAAGCGGCUCACUGGACCAUAACUGACGCUGAUGCACGAAAGCUAGGGGAGCAAACAGG
rnacentral:rRNA from 1 species